CCCCCUCGGACAUCCAUCUCUCCUAAUCUAGAAGCAAGGUUGGUUAACUUCAUGGACAACAUUGAAAGAAGAGUUAGCAACCUUGAAAAAGCAAGGAGUCAGAGAACCAUCACCCGCAAGAGAGCGUGUGAAUCGGCUUCUCACAAUUCUCCAACUACGGAGAAAAAGAAAGGUCCAGAGCCAGAAAAAUCAAGAGCUGGACCCAGUAAGAGUCGCACUGAUAGGACUCUUACACCACGAUUCAUAGAGGACCUCCGUCGGAAGCUGGCUGACACUCUAGUCAUCAGCAAUCCGAUCGAGUUCUUAAGAGUCAAA
rnacentral:lncRNA from 1 species